AAUUAUUAUUAUUCUUCUUUUCAAUUAACCUUAUCGUAUGGGAAUUCUCCGGAGAUUUACUCUCAGCGGCUGCCGGCGAUGAUGAGAACGUCGGAAUCAAAGCACCAUGCGUCCAUGUCUAUAGAGGUUCAGUCCUACUUAUUUCUCUCAAAUUUGAAACUGAACUUCCUGAUCUCCGAUCCAGGGAGCAUCAUUUUGGGGCGCGAAGUGCAAGGUCUAGUUUGUGGAUGAUCCUUUUGGAAUAAUGGCGGCAGUCUCAGUUAAGCAAUCGACUGCGGACAGUAAUUGUUAGUCAUUACUUCACCUGCUUGUUGUUGUUAAAUUAUCAAGAGUGACAAUGAGUUAUUGCUUCAGCUUUUAAUUCAUUUUGAAUUGUACUUCUCAAAGUAAUUAUAGGCUAAUUUAUGCAUUUGCUUUACCUGUCUUUUUAUCAAGCUCAGGUUCUUAAUGAUUUUACUUGUCGUUCCUCAGAAUUGAGUGCUUGCUCUGUUGUUUCUUUAAAUUAGUCUGUUUGUGUCACAUUUUUCUUCAUAUAGUCAAUUAGUUCUAGGGAUUUCGAUGUCUUUGCUGUGAUGGUGAUGUUAUACCAUCGUUUUAGAAUUUUUGAACUGAUAUGUUUAGAGGUAAGAAAUUGUUCACUUAUUGUUUUAAAUAAAAGAAAGAUACUGUCGUUGAUUGUAUGAAAAAUACUAUUGUAAAAGAAGCCACUGCGAUUGGCAGAAUCAGAAUGGUGUUGUGAUUAGGGGGAGGAUAGCAAAAAGAGCGCAAACAUUUUAUCAUUUUCGUUAAUUUCCACCUGCUAUUUCCUCAAAAGCUUCUUUCUUCCGUCUCCAACCAAACCUUAGUGCUUAAUCACGCAUAACCACAACACCUGUAGUUUCUCCUUGAAAUGAAUGCCAUAAAAGAAGCCAGGGAAUCUGUGCCAUAUACCUUAGUGAACAAAUCUAGGCAUAAUUGAGAACUAAUUGGUGGUGUGAAGUCCCGAAUCUCUAAAACCCCAACAAACUGAAUCUUCUCCAGAGCAAAAGUGGUGGCAGAUAUUCGAUGUGAAGCUUCCAUGGAUUAAAUUUUUGCUGCUUUCUUGAAGUGUUUGUUGCUCCUUAUAGGAUAGACUUCUGAUCUUUGGAUUUUCCCCUCACAUUCAUGUUCGUGAAGCCAGGUAGAUCCCCUCUCUUAAAACAAUUCUAGUUUAGAAAGAACUAAAAUCUAAUUGUUUUGACUAGUCUAUGUAUUCUAGUAAGUCAUAAUGCAAGCAUAUGUAGCCUCAUUUAUCCUAUUUGAAUGAAAGGAUAGACAUGAAAAGCUGGUAAACCUGUCGAGGUAAAAAAAGUUGGUGCUUUGUGUUAAAUGUGGAUUAUGCUGUGUUAAACUCUCAAAAUGGACUCUGAUCAAAGUGUGAACUUCAAACCCAAAAGUUCUUAUUUUCUAUGUUUAGUAACCAGAAGAGAAAUCAUUUAGGCAUUUCUUUUCCUCUAUUUUCUGGAUCAAUGAUGCAUGCCACUGUUUUCUCACCGAUCUAGUAGGUUGCUACUUCUGUGCACAUAGUUUCUCAAGAUUAAUUAUCUAUCUGGAAGUUUCAGUGUUGAUAUAGCACUCAGUUAUCUUAUAGAAAGGGGUAAUACUUAUAUUGCUGCCUUUGGUAAUUGAUACUGACAUUUCUCAUAUCAUAAUUGGACUUUGGUAAUUUAUAAUAUACAAGUUAUAGAAUUGGAACAGCAAUCAACAGUAGAACGAGAGAAGAUGGUAUUUCUUUUUUUGUAAUAAUAAACAGGAAGAAGUCUAUACAGUUUCUUUCUUAUUUAUAGCUACCAUUUAAAUUUAAUUAUAAUUAUAAAACAACGUAUGCAUAUCUAUAAUUGCAUUUAAUCCAAGUCCUAAAUUCUAUUAGAACAAGCCCAAUGUGAUCGCACUAGGUCCAUUGAGUGCUGCUAUGAGAUUGAGGAAAUUUUAUUGAGCUUUCUUAAUGGAAGAAACCAAGGUGACUGUAAAUUCUCAGUUGAUCGUGUCAACUCUCAAAGGAACUUCUGUAAUGAAUUUAUGUUUUCUAUGGGGUUGAGAAAACUGUGGACAUGUUUAUGUGUAUUUGAAAUUUCAGGCUGGUCACUUCAAUUCCUUAGUGUUUUUCGCAUGCUCAAGCAAUUUACAAUACGCCAAACUAUUUACCAUACUUAUGCUGCUAUUGUUAUGUUUUUGGAAUUCACAACUUGAGGAUUGCUAUUGUUAUGAUUUUGGUAUUCACAACUUAAGGAUACAGUUUUACAUCCUAUAAAACAGAUCCUGUUCAAGUAAGGUCAUUAUUAUAUUUUUGGUAUUGUAAAGCGAUGAAAGGACUUUUAAGACAUGUUGGCAAUUUGAGAUUUAUUAUCUUGGAGUAGAAAUGGUAAAGCUGUAGAUGUUGUUUUCUUGAAUUGCUAGUUUGUCUAGAAGAUUAAGGUUCUUCCUUGCAACUGUUUUCUUGUUCCUUCAAGUAUAUUUUAUUCCCUUUUUUAUCCUCUUGCAUCUCAAUUUUUAGUUAUUGGUCAAUAUAUUCGUGUUUUGUUUUAUAUUUUUUAAUAAGACUAUUGAGCAAUUUUAUUUAAUCAAACUUUUUAAAGAGUUGAAAUUGUGUUAUUUCUUUUGAGUUUAUCAAUGCUAUCCUAUCCCUUUCCCCAGAAAACUAGUAGUAAGUCCUUUCAAUGUCAUUAUCAUCUGUCUAAAAGUGUGCUGUCCAUUUCAUUUUCUUUUCAUGUUUUUCAUUUCAUCUGAUGUAAAUCCUAAUCUGUGUGCUUUUUGGACUUCUUGAAAGCUAUUGCAUAGAAAAAUGGAAGAAGUUUCUCCAAACUCCAUUAUCUUGAAUUUCAUAUUAGUUUCCCAUCAGAUCAAGAUUGAUGUUUAUAUUUUUGGUCAUAUCACUUGUAAUUCUCAGUAAGAUAGAGAUAUUUCUCUUGUUCCUGUUUAGUAGUUUGACUUCAAAUUCCCGUUCAACAAGUUUAUAAUAGGCACGUUUGUGCAAAGGAAAUUGCUUGGAAAAUUGCACAUAUUGCUGCUAUGUCUUAUCAAUUGCUCACCUGCAUAUAGUACAUUUGUCCCUUUACAUAAACAUAUUCUUUGGUAGUAAUCAGGUAACAGUGUGACUUUUUUUCUUUUAUCUUUUAUGUACAUAGAAUAGAAUAGCAUUUAAUAUAUAUAUAUAUAUUGAAUUCUUGAUGCAUUUGCACAGACCUAUCAUUUACUUCGGUCUAGUAGAAUUUAGAUUGCAACCUUUCCAACUCUUCUGUCAAGCUAGAUUUUUUCAAGGGCAUGAAAGAAAUGUGAACUUAGAGUCUCAGCUCGAAGUUCGACAUCAGCAUGGAUGCAAAAAGCUUAUCUGCAGUUCAUCAGAUGGUUCAAGUUGACCGCAAGCCUGCAAUGCUUAGCUUCUUUGGACAGCCAAGUCAUAUAAACGAGCUUUAAUAGACCAUCUUUUUGAUCUGGCCUAACAUGAUCCCUCCGUGCAGCAGAAUGGAGAUGUUGCAGGGAUCGAGUAAUACAACUUGAAUUUUAUUGUUCAUCUGUGAUAGUCUUUUCCUAGAGAUAGAAAUAUGAAGUUUAAAUUCUAUCUUUUAACAUUGGUUGCGCAUGGCAUGGAAAUCGGGACAGACAUUCAUCUACAAGAAAUUGUGUAAGUUUAGUUAUUCGCUUUUGCGUUUCUUUUGUUUCUUUGUUUUCUUUUUUCACCUUCAGAUUUUUUUCUAUAUGUAGAAGUGUAUUACUAUUAGGCAGGAGCUUCCCAUGGAAGGUUUCUGGAAGUUUCUUCAUUGCAUUGUUUUCCAUUCUUACUGGUUUUUAUUCUAUAUUGGGCUCCUAUAAGGCCCAUUCCUGAAUAGAGUAGCAAUUAAACUCCUGGUCUUGCUCUUCUGUUCAAUAAUUAUUUCUAAGAAUGACAUAACAUUUUUGGAUGCAAUGUUUUGAAAUCGUUCAGCAUAAUCAUUCUCUCGGCAAUUAUUGUCUUUUGAGGAUUAAAGAAUCUAUUUCUUUUCAAUCUCUCAUUUUCUGUUCUCCUCCGGUUUGGUUUGAGUCACAGAGUAAGAUUGCAUAUUUCUAAUUGUUUACGAGUAAGAAUCUAAUAGUGACAAUAUUUGCUGCCUAUAAUUAUAGUUUCUGUCGCAGGGUGCAAGUGUUGGAACUACAAAGACAUGCAACAGUUAAAAUUGUCAACCAUUCUUCUUAGCAUAGAGUAUCCCUCUCAUUUAUUAGUUGUGAAAUUGAUUUUUACUUCUCUUGAAGAAACUUGGCCAUCUAUAAUCUAAAUUAAAUUUGCAUAUUCAAUUUAUUUUUACCAUUGAGAAUUUUGGGGGUUUUAGGAAUAUUUGGCCUUAUUGUCUUGAAUUGAAUAUCAAUUCUUACUGCCUUAGAUUACUUCAAAUUUUAGUGAAAUUCACCCCAGACCAAGUGCGUGAGACAAUCCAUGCAGGACAGUAGGAAAAUAUAAGUUUCCUGUACAUUUAUCUUCUGCUUUUAUUGAGUUAAUUUAAUUUAGAUGAUGUAGCCUGUGAAAGGAUUCAACAUUGAGAGCCAUCAUCAGUUUUUUGACAAACUAGUAGUGGUUGGCGCACACAUUUAGAGUUCUUGUCUAGGUACUUCUAAUCCUUACCUUCCAUCAGAUGAACGCGGAUGAACGGCUCACUUCACCGAAGAAAGAGCUGUGUGGGGGCAUUUUCAAGUUGUGCUAAGAUGCAUUUGAAAUGGGGCCAACAUUCUCUCUCAUACCCCAUGUCUCUUCGCACCACCUCACCAACCGGGCACAGUUUCAAAUAUCUAUUGGUCAAACACAGUGCGAUGGAAAGGAAAAACAUCCUUAUAUCUAUAUGUUCUGUAACACUGCCAGACAGACUGGUGUUCGUGCUGUAAGGACCCACUGACUAUCCUAUCAAGCGACAAGAAGCGAUGGGCUGAAAGGAACCAGAAACAAAUAUUAUAUGAAUUACAAGCACUUAGCUUAGCGAUGGAAAAUCGUUGCUUUGGAAUCACAAAACACUUUCUUGUCAUCUUCAUGAUUUUUAAAUCUCCUUUUGGUCCAUCAUGUCAGUUCCACAGCAUAAACACGUGGAUAACCUGAAGUCACUGUAGUUGACUGAAAAGAUUCAAUGUUAAUCAUAAAUCUUUGGGGGCAUUCUUGGCAAGGGACUGUGCACUCAAGCACACAGUGAAGAAUAAAAGUGUACCAUCGAGCUCCUUAUCUCAAUAAGUAAUUGGCAAGGGGAGACAGGCCAUCAUUUGUAAUAAUGCUGAUGAUGAUCCUGUUGUCGAGGAAAACAUGCAUGGAAUGAACUACGUGUCGAUAUGAGGCAAAUUAGCUUCAAGGGAAUGGAGAGAGACUGGAAAGCAUCGCAGAAAUUAAUCAAACAUUGCUUUGUUCCCUAGUAGAGACUGUUUUUACCUCAUCAUUUACACAGAAGACAAUGGUAUUUUUACAUGUGAACCUUGGCAUGUAAAGGAGGAACACCUGGAGCAGGUUAAAGCUGAGAGACCAUCAAAUCUGCCAUGAAUUGAAAGCUACGUGUCAAUUUUUGAGUUGUAACUCUGAUGUUUAUGAUCUAAUAUGUUGGGAAGAUGAUCAACAUUUUUGAUAUACGGAUUGAAGGGGUCUUGCUCCCUC